rnacentral:lncRNA from 7 species
AGAGAAUCCUUGUCUUGGCCUGAGUAGAGAGAGCACUUGCAGAACUGGUAGCUGUUUCCUGUUGAUUGUGCUUCGUGAAAUCAGUUCCUAUACAUCUUCAACUGUGCGCUGUCUUUAUCUUGAACUGAAGCAAACAGGAAAGUUUCCCAUUAGAAUGCAACUCCGAUGGACUGGAUAGCUGUGUGCCCACCCUUGAAGCUGUAAGCAUCCUGGACACCCAUUCCAGAAGGAUGUUUUUGUCAGGCCGUAGACCAAAUGCUGUUUUGCUGUCUGAAGAGAUCUCAGCAAAGGGGCAGUAGUUAAAGAGGAACGAUUACAUUGUAAAAAGCCAUAAAACCUUCCAGGAUUCAGAGUCUCAGGGGGCCAGCCUGUUGGAGGAAGCAGGAAUCAAUAGUCCUAACGAGGAGCAGCUCUGAGCGCAGCCUGUGAUGAGGCUGGUUUUUUGUUAUGUUUCAUACAGCUGUACUGCUCCCCUUGGGACCAAUCCUCACCUCAGACACUGUCAUUCAGUCUCCUAAGAUGCAAUUUCCCAGUAUCUACCAAUUAACAUAGAGACAUUCUUAUCAUUCUGCUUGAAGAUCUAAAAUCAUUUUCUGCUAUACUUUCAGAGCAGCCUUUGUAUUUGCCGCAAUAUCCAGUAUGAUGGUAAAGGCUCUUAGAGAAAUGCGUUUAAUGAUUUUAAACACUUCUUGUAAAUCCAAAUAAAUACCUCUGUACAUACUUCGGAAUGUUACAGCAAUUUAAGGCUGUUGUGGGAAUAUUGCAGUUUUCCCCAUGCUUAUUUCAGCUUGCUCAAGUCAUUAUUGUAGAUCUUUUCACUGUUUUUGUUUCAUGGGUGAUUUUUACGAUGGUUAAUAAUUUCCUUAAAUAUGUUGACACAGGUGAUGUGACAAAACAAAUGUGCUCAUCAAAUCACCAACAAAACAGGCCUGGUUUUUUUUGUGUGUGUGUAAUUCCUAUAGCUAGGUGGAAAAACGGGAGAGAUGAAGGUGUAUUACUCCAAGCAAACGUGUUUCUGUACUCUGGAGCAUAUUUCUAGAAUCAUUGGAGCAAAAUAUGUUAAAAUUAAAUAGAGGUGUUUAGU